UACGUAGGGGGCAAGCGUUGUCCGGAUUUAUUGGGCGUAAAGAGCUCGUAGGCGGUUCGGCAAGUCAGAUGUAAAAACUCCAGGCUCAACUUGGAGAGGCCAUCUGAUACUGCCGUGACUAGAGUCCGGUAGAGGAGCACGGAAUUCCUGGUGUAGCGGUGAAAUGCGCAGAUAUCAGGAAGAACACCUAUGGCGAAGGCAGCUCUCUGGGACGGUACUGACGCUGAGACGCGAAAGCGUGGGGAGCGAACAGG
rnacentral:rRNA from 1 species